rnacentral:rRNA from 1 species
CUGGCGGCGUGCUUAACACAUGCAAGUCGAACGGAAAGGCCCUGCUUUUGUGGGGUGCUCGAGUGGCGAACGGGUGAGUAACACGUGAGUAACCUGCCCUUGACUUUGGGAUAACUUCAGGAAACUGGGGCUAAUACCGGAUAGGAGCUCCUGCUGCAUGGUGGGGGUUGGAAAGUUUCGGCGGUUGGGGAUGGACUCGCGGCUUAUCAGCUUGUUGGUGGGGUAGUGGCUUACCAAGGCUUUGACGGGUAGCCGGCCUGAGAGGGUGACCGGCCACAUUGGGACUGAGAUACGGCCCGGACUCCUACGGGAGGCAGCAGUGGGGAAUAUUGCACAAUGGGCGGAAGCCUGAUGCAGCAACGCCGCGUGCGGGAUGACGGCCUUCGGGUUGUAAACCGCUUUCGCCUGUGACGAAGCGUGAGUGACGGUAAUGGGUAAAGAAGCACCGGCUAACUACGUGCCAGCAGCCGCGGUGAUACGUAGGGUGCGAGCGUUGUCCGGAUUUAUUGGGCGUAAAGGGCUCGUAGGUGGUUGAUCGCGUCGGAAGUGUAAUCUUGGGGCUUAACCCUGAGCGUGCUUUCGAUACGGGUUGACUUGAGGAAGGUAGGGGAGAAUGGAAUUCCUGGUGGAGCGGUGGAAUGCGCAGAUAUCAGGAGGAACACCAGUGGCGAAGGCGGUUCUCUGGGCCUUUCCUGACGCUGAGGAGCGAAAGCGUGGGGAGCGAACAGGCUUAGAUACCCUGGUAGUCCACGCUGUAAACGGUGGGUACUAGGUGUGGGGUCCAUUCCACGGGUUCCGUGCCGUAGCUAACGCUUUAAGUACCCCGCCUGGGGAGUACGGCCGCAAGGCUAAAACUCAAAGGAAUUGACGGGGCCCCGCACAAGCGGCGGAGCAUGCGGAUUAAUUCGAUGCAACGCGUAGAACCUUACCUGGGUUUGACAUGGAUCGGGAGUGCUCAGAGAUGGGUGUGCCUCUUUUGGGGUCGGUUCACAGGUGGUGCAUGGCUGUCGUCAGCUCGUGUCGUGAGAUGUUGGGUUAAGUCCCGCAACGAGCGCAACCCUUGUUCACUGUUGCCAGCACGUUAUGGUGGGGACUCAGUGGAGACCGCCGGGGUCAAUUCGGAGGAAGGUGGGGAUGACGUCAAGUCAUCAUGCCCCUUAUGUCCAGGGCUUCACGCAUGCUACAAUGGCUGGUACAGAGAGUGGCGAGCCUGUGAGGGUGAGCGAAUCUCGGAAAGCCGGUCUCAGUUCGGAUUGGGGUCUGCAACUCGACCUCAUGAAGUCGGAGUCGCUAGUAAUCGCAGAUCAGCAACGCUGCGGUGAAUACGUUCCCGGGGCUUGUACACACCGCCCGUCAAGUCAUGAAAGUUGGUAACACCCGAAGCCGGUGGCCUAACCGUUGUGGGGGAGCCGUCGAAGGUGGGACUGG